UCUACAUAAAGUUUGAGUAUCUCAUAUUGAUUCUGGCUCUACCUAGUGAAACAACCGUAUUGCAAAUAAGAUAAUACGUUAAAAGAAAAUGAUGAGCAUCUACAUUUGUAUUCAAAGGAUCAGACUUUAGACGGAGACCAAACUCACAUGAUCAAUCUGCCGCGUAGCAGGCGUGACCAUCCCAUCAACAGCCUUAGUCAAAUCACUGUAAUAACUCUCCAGAACAGUAGACUUCUUCUUCUCCGCACCGGAGAGAGAGAGAACCAAAGCUUAGGCCUCAGCACAGGAGGUAUCCCUUUCCUAAUCAACCUCUUCAACGUGAUCGCAUACUCAAAGCAGAUAUCUUCAGUGACGUCUUCAAUGCGAUACCACCGUCUCCGAUCAAUAGAAUAUCCGGCUGGAGAUACCAGUCAGUUCCUUUGCUGGCUUCGAGAGCCCACCAGACUCUCCCUUGGCUCCUCACUUUCUCUCUGACUUAGUUCAAGACGUUGACGUCGUCGACGUUUCCUUCCACCGUGAAACUGUAUAGGUCCUGGAAUUUGACGACAGUGUUGGCUCGUCGGGCGUGGAUGCUGGGGCGGGAUGGGGAUUUGGGAUUGGAGCUCCGUUCUUAAGUCUCUUUUGCUUUGGAUACCAAACAUCGUGGGUUCUUGUCUGAUUUUUUCUCGUCAGUUUCGGACCAAUCACGAACAUGUCAAGAGGAAAAAACAGAGGAAAUGAAAAGGAAGCUCCUUUCUUGUUUGGAUUUAAAUUUUUUUAUUAAAAGUUGUAAUCUUUCAAUAUUAUAAUGGUGUCACGUUCUGCAAACGUUAUCUCUCUCUAAUCUUCAUCUCUACGCAGUCAAAAAAAAUUUUUGAAUUAAAAAAUCAGAAUCAAAAGAAGAAGCCAAAAACAAAUGAUCUGGUGAGGAACAGUAACACUAAAAUGGAAAACAAAAGUUAUAAUAAAACGAUAACCCAGUAAACAAUGACAAAUUUGCUGUAGCGAUCAAACACAGAUCUAAAAACAUGAAACGAUGAACUUACAUUAAGGUCAACCAGAAGCAUGUCAACCCACAUGAGCUCGCCACCGCGCUUCACAUUUCUCGCCUCCCAGAACUGCAACAGCCGAGCCUCAACGACGCCGGAGCACUUGCCGGACUUCAAGUCGGAGAAGAAGACUCUCGCCAAUCCAGUACCUUGGACUCCCUCUCACUACAAAGCUAAUGACCAAGCACGACUAUGAGCCACUCCUAACCAAAAUACGGGCGCGUCUCCUUUCAUGGACAAGCAAAGCUCUUUCGUAUGCUGGUAGACUUCAGCUCAUCAAGUCUGUCAUUGCCAGCCUCGCAAAUUUUUGGUGUGCUGCAUUCUGCUUGCCCCAGGCUUGCAGUGACGACAUAGAGAGUAUGUGCUCUGCCUUUCUUUGGAGUGGUUCUCCAAACAACACGUCAAUGGCUAAGAUUGCGUGGGUGGAGAUUUGUCAACCGUAUGAGGAAGGAGGCCUUGGCCUUAGGCGUUUAAACGAUGUGAAUACGGUCUUUAUCUUGAAACUAAUCUGGCGGCUUAUGUCUCAGGCCCUUUCUCUAUGGGGCGCUUGGGUAAAUAAAUAUCUGCUUCGUGAUGAGACCCUCUGGGACGUCAAGGAUACUGGUCUUGGAUCAUGGGUGUGGAGGAAACUGUUACGGUUCAGAAGUUAGGCCCGCAGUUUCAUCCGUAUGGACAUUAAAAGAGGUAUGACAGUGAGGUUUUGGACUGAUCUAUGGCAUCACAGGGGUCGGUUGAUAGAGAUUACUGGAGAGAUUGGCACGCAAAAACUUGGCAUUCCUAGGAAUGCAACAAUAAAUGAGGUACUCGUUGACAGAGAAUGGAGAUUUAGAAGAUGCAGAGACCAACGAAUCCAAACGCUAAUGCAAGAGGUCCGCAUGUCUCAGGUGACACUCUCCGCGGGUGAAAAAGAUGGGGUUUUGUGGAAACUGGGGCCAGAUGACUAUGGAGAUAGAUUCAGCUCUAGCGCGACAUGGCAGCAGAUAAGACAGCAACAAGAUAGGGUCCAAUGGACUCAGCUGGUUUGGUUCGCGCAAGGCGUUCCCCGAUUUGCGUUCAUCACCUGGCUAGCGUUCAAGGACAGGCUCGCUACUGGUCAGCGUACGCGUAAAUGGGGCCAGCUGCAAGGGUGUCUAUUCUGUGGAGAGCCGGAGGAGUCGCGCGAUCAUCUUUAUUUCGCGUGUCCGUAUACGUUCACUCUAUGGCUGCAGGUUGUUGGGAAGUUGCUUGGUGUGGAACCGGACCCAGAUUGGGAGACCACUAUUCUGCAGAUGCUCUCUGGCACAUAUGACCGGCUAACGUUUAUAUUGCUUCGUUUGGUGCUGCAAGUAACUAUUUACUUCAUCUGGAGGGAACGUAAUGAUAGGAAGCACAAUAGCGCAGCAAAGCCAGUGGCGCAGCUGUCUCGACUGAUCGAUAAAACUGUGAGGAAUCGCAUCAUGUCUACAAAGUAUCAUCUGAAGCCGAGGUUGCAGGAACUGAUGGUUCGUUGGUUUGAAGCUCACAUGGCAUAGGAAGCCAAUAGAGCAGCAAUUGCGUAGAGUAGCCAUUUCUUACAUUAGUUUGAAAGACUACACAGUUGUGUAUAUACUUUUCCAAAGUUGAUCAAUAAAUUGAAUAUUUCAUCAAAAAAAAAAAUUCAAAAGAAAAUAAUGGUUGUCUACAUAAAGUUUGAGUAUCUCAUAUUGAUUCUGGCUCUACCUAGUGAAACAACCGUAUUGCAAAUAAGAUAAUACGUUAAAAGAAAAUGAUGAGCAUCUACAUUUGUAUUCAAAGGAUCAGACUUUAGACGGAGACCAAACUCACAUGAUCAAUCUGCCGCGUAGCAGGCGUGACCAUCCCAUCAACAGCCUUAGUCAAAUCACUGUAAUAACUCUCCAGAACAGUAGACUUCUUCUUCUCCGCACCGGAGAGAGAGAGAACCAAAGCUUAGGCCUCAGCACAGGAGGUAUCCCUUUCCUAAUCAACCUCUUCAACGUGAUCGCAUACUCAAAGCAGAUAUCUUCAGUGACGUCUUCAAUGCGAUACCACCGUCUCCGAUCAAUAGAAUAUCCGGCUGGAGAUACCAGUCAGUUCCUUUGCUGGCUUCGAGAGCCCACCAGACUCUCCCUUGGCUCCUCACUUUCUCUCUGACUUAGUUCAAGACGUUGACGUCGUCGACGUUUCCUUCCACCGUGAAACUGUAUAGGUCCUGGAAUUUGAC
rnacentral:lncRNA from 1 species